UACGUAGGGUGCAAGCGUUGUCCGGAAUUAUUGGGCGUAAAGAGCUCGUAGGCGGCUUGUCACGUCGACUGUGAAAACCCAGGGCUUAACCCUGGGCUUGCAGUGGAUACGGGCAGACUAGAGGCAGGUAGGGGAGAAUGGAAUUCCCGGUGUAGCGGUGAAAUGCGCAGAUAUCGGGAGGAACACCGGUGGCGAAGGCGGUUCUCUGGGCCUGACCUGACGCUGAGGAGCGAAAGCGUGGGGAGCAACAGG
rnacentral:rRNA from 1 species